UUUCUUUCUCUUUUCUGCAGGAAGGGGUUGUGACUAUAUCCCUAUAGAAAAUGGAAGAUUAUCUGAUUAUUAUGAAUGGAACAAACCAUUUCCAAGACGGGAGGGACAAACAAUGGACUUUUAUUGUUAUCGUGGAUUUCUGGCUGCAAACAAACAGACAUGGCACAGGGCCACAUGCAUUAACUCCCACUAUGUACCAGAACCAAAGUGUUUCAAAACAUGCGAUCAUUCUCAACGUUUUCAUUAUGGUCACUUCAUCUCUAAUUAUUGGAACAAGUACAUAGAGGGUGAAAACAUAACAUUUGCUUGUAAUGAGGGCUAUCAUCCUGAACAGCAGCAGACAACAUCCAGCUGCACAAAAAAUGGCUGGUCACCCUUUCCAAGAUGCAUCCCCAGAAAAGUAAUUCCUGUUGAACACACCUGCGAGAAGGUUUCU